rnacentral:rRNA from 1 species
AGUGAACGCUGGCGGUAGGCCUAACACAUGCAAGUCGAACGGCAGCACAGUAAGAGCUUGCUCUUACGGGUGGCGAGUGGCGGACGGGUGAGGAAUACAUCGGAAUCUACUUUUUCGUGGGGGAUAACGGAGGGAAACUUACGCUAAUACCGCAUACGAUCUACGGGUGAAAGCAGGGGAUCUUCGGACCUUGCGCGAUUGAAUGAGCCGAUGUCGGAUUAGCUAGUUGGCGGGGUAAAGGCACACCAAGGCGACGAUCCGUAGCUGGUCUGAGAGGAUGAUCAGCCACACUGGAACUGAGACACGGUCCAGACUCCUACGGGAGGCAGCAGUAGGGAAUAUUGGGCAAUGGGCGCAAGCCUGAUCCAGCCAUACCGCGUGAGUGAAGAAGGCCUUCGGGUUGUAAAGCUCUGUUGUUGGGAAAGAAAAGCAGCAUGUUAAUCCCCCGCUGUUCUGACGGUACCCAAAGAAUAAGCACCGGCUAACUUCGUG